rnacentral:rRNA from 1 species
CUACUUAGCAACGCUGUUUUUUCCCUUACCUAUAGAGUCCCCCAGCAGGUUCGCUGGAUUUGAGGGGUUGGUUUUUUCUCCUGCUAAGAGUGAGACUCUUUUUCCCACUCUUAGGCAUAUUUGCUAUGUGUGUUCUAGGCUAUUUUUUUGUGUUUAAUGUCUUUGGGGUUUAUUUCACCCCCAUAGGAACCAUCUUUAUACACAUGUGUUACACAGCACCCUCCGUGCAGUAACACAAGGGUGUCGUAGCGACCUCAAACAUAGACUCCAUACCCUGGGACUGACUACUGUCUCCCAGGGCAUGUGAAGUCCCAUUUGACUUUACUAGUCAAUCUGUAUGAACAACACCAGAACACCCCAUAUUACUAUGGAGGUACUGGCAAGGGUUAAUAGUUCUUCCCUUAUGUUCGUUUUCGAGAGGGUACCGUACAGUCCCUCUCUCAAAAGUUUCUGGCUGGUGGCAGUGGUUACUACCAAAAAUAUUCUAUCACAAAUAUUUCCCUAUGGGAUUUUCCCAUUGUUUGAGGCUACCACAUUUACUGACAGCCUCUAACAUACCGCCGGUUUAUUUUUAUAUUAACUGUACUCCGGUAGGUUUUAUUUGCCAGAAUUUUAUAUAAAUUCUUUCUCGUGUCUUUCUCUAAAAUCCUAACCCAGGUCGGGGAUCCUUUGUUCGUCCGUUUGGCGGGCUCCUGCCAAGAAGCCCUCCUUUCGGCGCCACCGAGUCUGGGGUGGAUCUAUUGUGUGGGAGGGGGAGUAGGACCCCUGGACAGGGUUGCCUCAGCAACCCAUGUCGCCCUCUGCCCUGAUAGGCUGGAGGGUCUCCCGCCAGGAUGACCACUCCACUGUGUGAGUGACAGCUACGCUGUAUGAAUGGGGAUCUAUUUGCAUAAAAGCAGGGUCCUGAGGACUGGAAGGUCAAGACGUCGCUCUGGAACUAAGAAGCCGAAGAGGAGAGAAGCCAAAGACAUCUGCACCAACUGAACCACCCGUGAAGCCCUGCUGCAGCGUCUCACCGCUUUUCUCCACACGACGAGAAAGAGCCUUCUUCCCUUGAGCUGGGUGGGCCAGUUUGCCAAUUGCCUUCCUGGACCUGCCGUGGUUGAAUCGUCAGUGCCCUGCACUUGGAGACCGGAUAGCCAGGCACCCGUCCACCCGGACUGCGAUUUAAAGGAGCGUACAUUUUAUUUCGUUUGGCAGCACCGCGGCUGGUUUCAUCCCUGGGCAGUGCAGUAACUCGAACCUUCCUCCAUGCCGAGAGUCCCUCUUCCUCUGCUGGAUUCCCCGAACUGCAGGAACUGCAAGGAACAAUUGCCACCACAGGAGCCUCUUCUUCAUACUAAGGUACUUUGUUCCGCCAGGCCUCCCUUUUCGUUUGGUAGCACUAGAGGUGUUUUAAAUCCUUUACCUACCUGUUGGUUUGGCCGCCCCUAUCCUCUAACAUUGUCUUUCACCUUGUGCAACCACCUUUUCGAAUCAGUUAACAAAGACUUGACUGCAGCUACAAGAACAUUUUUGCUCUUGGCUCUUUGCCCUGUACCACUGACUCUGGCUGAAUGUGUUACAACUGCCUUCACUAAGAUUGCUUCUCUUCCUAGUAAUGUGUUGGUGCACCAAAACUUUAUAACCACCUUUUCCUUCCACUUUUUAAACUUGUGAAGUGCCAUUUUGCUCGGUUUCACCUAAGUAUUUAUACAUGCUAAAGUACUGCCUUGUUUAACUUGUUCACAAACUUAUUGGGAAGUGUUGCUAGUGUGCCUAAGAGUAUAUCCUGUAUAAAUUUUUCAUUCCCUCCCUUGUGAGAAAUUGCUAGAGUGCCAUUUGUGUUUGGUUUUCACUGUGCCGUUUUGCUUCAGUUUUCACUCUUGCUCAAACUUGUCUACAAUUUAACUAGGGAGUUGUGUAUACUUUUCUUGACUGAGUUUAACUUGCUUUUAUAACUGUGAUUUGUGUUGAACUAGAAGUGUGUAAAAUAAAUAUAUAUAUUCUUUUAAUACAAAGCUUUGGUCAGUGUUUCCUUGUACCACUGUAUUGUAGUCUAUGGUGUAAACCCUGAAUACUGCUCAUCUCCCUCUUGAGAUAAGUCUGACUGCUUAGCCACAGCUACCAACUAAAUCUUUGUGGUACAGACUGAUACCAAAGGGGAUUUAUUGCUCAUACCUGUAGUCUUAAUCUUCUGUAAUGCUCCCUAAGGGAACUGCACAGGAUUCUGCCUAACAGAAGUGCAUGAAUGGAUGAACGAGAUUCCCACUGUCCCUACCUACUAUCUAGCGAAACCACAGCCAAGGGAACGGGCUUGGCAGAAUCGGCGGAGAAAGAAGACCCGGUUUAACUUGACUCUAGUCUGGCACUUUGAAGACACAUGAGGUGUAGGAUAAGUGGGAGGCACUCGGGCCGCCGGUGAAAUACCACUACUCUUAUUGUUUUUUCACUUACCCGGUGAGGUGGGGGGGCGAGCCCCUUGGGGCUCUCGCUUCUGGCUCCAACCGCCCGGCGCACGCUGGGCGCGACCCGCUCCGGGGUCAGAGGCAGGUGGGGAGAUUGACUGGGGCGGUACACCUGUCAAACGAUAAAGCAGCUGUCCUAAAGGGAGCUCAGGGAGGACCGAAACCUCCCGCGAAGCAGAAGGGCAAAAGCUCGCUUGAUCUCGAUUUUCAGUAUGAAUACAGACCGUGAAAGCGGGGCCUCACGAUCCUUCUGACUUUUGGGUUUCGAGCAGGAGGUGUCAGAAAAGUUACCACAGGGAUAACUGGCUUGUGGCAGCCAAGCGUCAUAGCGACGUCGCUUUUUUGAUCCUUCAAUGUCGACUCUUCCCAUCAUUGUGAAGCAGAAUUCACCAAGCGUUGGAUUGUUUCACCCACUAAUAGGGAAUGUGAGCUGGGUUUAGACCGUCGUGAGACAGGUUAGUUUUACCCUACUGAUGAUGUGUUAUUGCAAUAGUAAUCCUGCUUAGUACGAGAGGAACCGCAGGUUCAGACAUUUGGUGUAUGUGCUUGGCUGAGGAGCCAAUUGGGCGAAGCUACCAUCUGUGGGAUUAUGACUGAACGCCUCUAAAUCAGAAAGCCCCCAUAAACCGGAAAGCAUAUAGCAGCGGUGUGGAGUCCCCGUUGGCCUAGGAUAGCCAGCCUCUGGGCCGGUGAUCUAGCCUCUCGCCUCGGGACUCGAGUGUGGAUAGAAGGGAGCCACCUCUCUCGCCCGUAGUGCACCGCAUGUUCGUGGGGAACCUGGUGCUAAAUCAUUCGUAGACAACCUGAUUCUGGCUCAGGGUUUCGUAAGUAGCAGAGCAGCUACCUCGCUGCGAUCUAUUGAAAGUCAUCCUCUGCGCCAAGCUUUUGUCGCAAGGCCCUCU